rnacentral:rRNA from 1 species
UGAGGAACAUGACUUUCGGCGGGGGAUAGCCGGCCCAACGGCCGGGUAAUACCGCGUACGACCUUUUGGGGACAUCCCUGAUUGGUGAAAGCAGCAAUGCGCCGAAAGAGUGCCUCGCGGCCUAUCAGCUAGUUGGUGGGGUAAUGGCUCACCAAGGCGACGACGGGUAGCUGGUCUGAGAGGAUGGCCAGCCACAUUGGGACUGAGACACGGCCCAGACUCCUACGGGAGGNAGCG